UACGAAGGGGGCUAGCGUUGCUCGGAAUCACUGGGCGUAAAGCGCACGUAGGCGGCUUUCUAAGUCAGGGGUGAAAUCCUGGAGCUCAACUCCAGAACUGCCUUUGAUACUGGAGAGCUUGAGUCCGGAAGAGGUGAGUGGAACUCCGAGUGUAGAGGUGAAAUUCGUAGAUAUUCGGAAGAACACCAGUGGCGAAGGCGGCUCACUGGGGGUUUUCUGACGCUGAGGAACGAAAGCCAGGGGAGCGAACGGG
rnacentral:rRNA from 1 species